AUGUAUUAUUUCUAUCCCAGGGUGUACGCCAUGGUUGUGACAGCAGAUCGAGCCUGCUGUCUCACAGAUAUCAGCAUUACCGCCCCCUCCUGCCGUUCACUCCUGCCUUCCACAUCUGUGCCUUCUCUCUGCAGGCUAAGAGGCAAGGAUGUGUUCCUGAUGCAGCCUUCAGAUUAUCUUGUUUCGUGCUUCUUAGGAAAUUUGUACAUUUUACAGAAAAGAAAUGAACUUGUAAAGAGGAAAAAACAUAGAAACUAAAAGAGAUUCCUAGUGUCUGCUUAGUUAAGAAUUGAAAGGCGCACAGUUUGGGAAACCAUCCAUAUUGCAGUGUUUCUAUGUCCCUUUGGGCUUUUUAAAGAGUGACUUGGAGGAGUUCCCUUGUGGCUCAGCAGGUUAAGGACUCAGUGUUGUCACUGCAGGGGCUCUGGUUGCUGCUAUGGCAUGGGUUUGAUCCCUAGCCUAGGAACUUCCACAUGCUGCAGAUGUGGCCCAAAAGAAAAAAAGGGAUUCGGGGAGUUCUCGUCGUGGCGCAGUGGAAAUGAAUCUGACUAGGAACCAUGAGGUUUCGGGUUUGAUCCCUGGCCUCGCUCAUGGGUUAAGGAACUGGCAUUCCUGUGAACUGUGGUAUAGGUCGCAGAUGCAGCUCGGAUCUCACGUUGCUAUAGCUGUGGUGUAGGCUGGCAGCUGUAGCUCCAGUUCGAUCCGUAGCCUGGGAACCUCCAUAUGCCGCGGGUGCAGCCCUAAAAAAGCAAAAGAAAAAAAGUGAGUUGGAAAUAAUAAGGCUAAGAUCGGCAAUUUUCUAAAAAUUGUUCAAUAUUGAAAAAACGUUUGUGUAUGAUAUAUACACAUACGUGCCCGUAUACAUAUGGAAAGUAUAUGUGUGUGAAUACAUAUAUAUGCAUGUGUGUGUACAUAUGUAUUUGUGUAUAUACAUACACAGACAUACAUAUAUAGUUGAAUUUUAUUCUAAACCUAUAUAUCUUAUCAUCCAACUUACCCCAUUCAUAUUAAUUGAUAACAUCUUUUUUGAAACUUUGCAUUACGAUACUAACAUUUAAAAACUAUUGGAGGAGUUCCCGAAUCCGACUAGGAACCAUGAGGUUGCGGGUUCGGUCCCUGCCCUUGCUCAGUGGGUUAACGAUCCGGUGUUGCCGUGAGCUGUGGUGUAGGUUGCAGACGCGGCUCGGAUCCCGCGUUGCUGUGGCUCUGGUGUAGGCCGGGGGCUACGGCUCCGAUUCGACCCCUAGCCUGGGAACCUCCAUAUGCCACGGGAGCGGCCCAAAGAAAUAGCAAAAAGACAAAAAAUAAAAUAAAAAAAAAUAAUAAAUAAAUAAAAAAA
rnacentral:lncRNA from 1 species